rnacentral:rRNA from 1 species
UACGUAGGGGGCAAGCGUUGUCCGGAUUCAUUGGGCGUAAAGAGCUCGUAGGCGGCUUGGCAAGUCGGGUGUGAAACCUCCAGGCUCACCUGGAGACGCCACCCGAUACUGCCAUGGCUAGAGUCCGGUAGGGGACCACGGAAUACCUGGUGUAGCGGUGAAAUGCGCAGAUAUCAGGUGGAACACCGGUGGCGAAGGCGGUGGUCUGGGCCGGAACUGACGCUGAGGAGCGAAAGCGUGGGGAGCGAACAGG